rnacentral:lncRNA from 1 species
UCCCACUUGAGUCUUAUCCACCAAUUUAUAAAGACUACCUAUUUGUACUCUCUUUAUCACUACCAAAUAUCCUUUGGACACUUUCAAUUGAUCUUUCUCUCUGAUAAACUUUAAGCCUUGCUUACGAAACUUUGCAAGUGACAGUAGACUCUUGCACAGUACAGGAAUACGCCGUACAUUAGAAACUGUCCGAACUAUACCAUCAAAUAUUUUGAUCCGAACAUCCCACUUCAAUCAUAGGACAAGUUGUAUUGUUAUCCAAAUAGAUAACUCUUUCAUCC